rnacentral:rRNA from 1 species
UACGUAGGGUGCAAGCGUUGUCCGGAAUUAUUGGGCGUAAAGAGCUCGUAGGCGGUCUGUCGCGUCGGAUGUGAAAACCCAGGGCUCAACCCUGGGCCUGCAUUCGAUACGGGCAGACUAGAGUGUGGUAGGGGAGACUGGAAUUCCUGGUGUAGCGGUGAAAUGCGCAGAUAUCAGGAGGAACACCGAUGGCGAAGGCAGGUCUCUGGGCCAUAACUGACGCUGAGAAGCGAAAGCAUGGGGAGCGAACAGG